rnacentral:rRNA from 1 species
UACGCAGGUGGCUAGCGUUGUUCGGAAUUACUGGGCGUAAAGCGCACGUAGGCGGAUUUGUAAGUCAGGGGUGAAAUCCCGGGGCUCAACCUCGGAACUGCCUUUGAUACUGCAAGUCUUGAGACCGGAAGAGGUGAGUGGAAUUCCUAGUGUAGAGGUGAAAUUCGUAGAUAUUAGGAAGAACACAAGUGGCGAAGGCGGCUCACUGGUCCGGUUCUGACGCUGAGGUGCGAAAGCGUGGGGAGCAAACAGG